rnacentral:rRNA from 1 species
UAGGGAAUCUUCGGCAAUGGGGGGAACCCUGACCGAGCAACGCCGCGUGAGUGAAGAAGGUUUUCGGAUCGUAAAGCUCUGUUGUUAAGGAAGAACGAGUGUGAGAAUGGAAAGUUCAUACUGUGACGGUACUUAACCAGAAAGGGACGGCUAACUACGUGCCAGCAGCCGCGGUAAUACGUAGGUCCCGAGCGUUGUCCGGAUUUAUUGGGCGUAAAGCGAGCGCAGGCGGUUAGAUAAGUCUGAAGUUAAAGGCAGUGGCUCAACCAUUGUAGGCUUUGGAAACUGUUUAACUUGAGUGCAGAAGGGGAGAGUGGAAUUCCAUGUGUAGCGGUGAAAUGCGUAGAUAUAUGGAGGAACACCGGUGGCGAAAGCGGCUCUCUGGUCUGUAACUGACACUGAGGCUCGAAAGCGUGGGGAGCGAACAGG